rnacentral:rRNA from 1 species
UACGUAGGCAGCAAGCGUUGUUCGGAGUUACUGGGCGUAAAGAGUGUGUAGGCGGUUGGGUAAGUUCGGUGUGAAAUCUCCCGGCUUAACUGGGAGGGUGCGCCGAAGACUGCCUGGCUUGAGUGCGGGAGAGGAAAGCGGAAUUCCUGGUGUAGCGGUGAAAUGCGUAGAUAUCAGGAGGAACGCCUGCGGUGUAGACGGCUUUCUGGACCGUGUCUGACGCUGAGACACGAAAGUGUGGGUAGCAAACAGG